AUUGAACGCUGGCGGCAGGCUUAACACAUGCAAGUCGAACGGAGUGGCGGACGGGUGAGUAAUGCUUGGGAAUCUAGCUUAUGGAGGGGGAUAACGUCCGGAAACGGGCGCUAAUACCGCAUACUAUCAGAUGAGCCUAGGUCGGAUUAGCUAGUUGGUGGGGUAAAGGCCUACCAAGGCGACGAUCCGUAACUGGUCUGAGAGGAUGAUCAGUCACACUGGAACUGAGACACGGUCCAGACUCCUACGGGAGGCAGCAGUGGGGAAUAUUGGACAAUGGGCGAAAGUCUGAUCCAGCCAUGCCGCGUGUGUGAAGAAGGUCUUCGGAUUGUAAAGUACUUUCAGCGGGGAGGCGUUACCCGCAGAAGAAGCACCGGCUAACUCCGUGCCAGCAGCCGCGGUAAUUC
rnacentral:rRNA from 1 species